rnacentral:rRNA from 1 species
GACGAACGCUGGCGGCGUGCUUAACACAUGCAAGUCGAACGGAAAGGCCCUGCUUUUGUGGGGUGCUCGAGUGGCGAACGGGUGAGUAACACGUGAGUAACCUGCCCUUGACUUUGGGAUAACUUCAGGUAACUUGGGCUAAUACCGGAUAGGAUCUCCUGCUGCAUGGUGUGGGUUGGAAAGUUUCGGCGGUUGGGGAUGGACUCGCGGCUUAUCAGCUUGUUGGUGGGGUAGUGGCUUACCAAGGCUUUGACGGGUAGCCGGCAUGAGAGGGUGACCGGCGACAUUGGGACUGAGAUACGGCCCAGAAUCCUACGGGAGGCAGCAGUGGGGAAUAUUGCACAAUGGGCGGAAGCCUGAUGCAGCAACGCCGCGAGCGGGAUGACGGCCUUCGGGUUGUAAACCGAUUUCGACUGUGACGAAGCGUGAGUGACGGUAAUGGGUAAAGAAGCACCGGCUAACUACGUG